rnacentral:lncRNA from 1 species
AGCCAAACAAAAGAGAACAAAGGCAUCAAUUCUCAAUCUUGAGUUUCAAAGAGCUUUUUCAAAGUCCUGGCAAAGAAAACAGGUUGAUAGAAAAUGUUUCUGUAUUUCAAAAGUGGCAUUUCUUGUACCAAAAGCCAUGUGCUAUGAUGUUUACAAUAGUUUUGGGGAGAUUAUGUGAUACUUAAAAAAAAACAAUUUUUAAGUGAUUUUUUUUUCCAUCAUGGCUGGUUUACAGUGUUCUGUCAGUUUUCUACUGUACAGCAAGGUGACCCAGUCAUACAUACAUAUAUACAUUCUUUUUCUCACAUUAUCAUGCUCCAUCACAAGUGACUAGAUAUAGUUCCCCAUGCUGUACGGCAGGAUCUCAUUGCUUAUCCAUUCCAAAGGCAAUAGUUUACAUCUAUUAACCCCUAAUUCCCAGUCCCUCUCCCUCCCUCCCCCUCCCCCUUGGCCACCACAAGUCUGUUCUCCCAAUUCCAUGAUUUUCUUUUCUGUGGAAAGGUUCAUUUGUGCUUUAUAUUGUAUUCCAGAUAUAAAUGAGAUCAUAUGGUAUUUGUCUUUGUUUCUGACUUACUUCACUUAGUAUGAGAAUCUGUAGUUCCAUCAAUGUUGCUGCAAAUGGCAUUAUUUUGUUCUCAGGCUAGGGGCCCAAUUGGAGCUAUAGCUGCUGGCCUAUGCCAUAGCCACAGCAACUUGGGAUCUGAGCCAUGUCUGCGACCUACACCACAGCUCAUAGCAAUGCUGGAUCCUUAACCCACUGAGCAAGGCCAGGGAUCAAACCUACAUCCUCAUGGAUACUAGUCAGUUUUGUUAACCACUGAGCCAUGAUGGGAACUCCUACCUCAUAGUAGUUUUGAUUUGCAUUUCUCUAAUAAUCAGUGAUGUUGAACAUUUUUUCAUGUGCUUGUUGGUCAUCUGUACAUCUUUGGAGAAUUGUCUGUUCAAGUCUUUUGCCCAUUUUUCCAUUGGGUGGUUGGCUUUUUUGCUGUUGAGUUGUAAAAAAAAAAAAAAAAAAAAAAAA